UUCCUCUCUAUGACGGGCGGGCCCCACCCCGGCCUUCCCUUUCCUCCAGCCGCACGGGCACGCGCCCAGCGCGCCGCCGCCACAGGCAGCCGAACCGGCCGCGCCUCUCACCUCCUCGUCCUUUCCCCUUCCCUCGGAAGUGGAGCACUAGCAUCGUUCUCUCUCCCUUCCUCUUCCCCACUUCCUCUCCCCAUUCACUCCGAGGGAAACGGCCGGCGCCACUAAUGGCAGCCGCCGACCUCUCCCUUCCCGGAUUUCUCUCUCCCUCUCCUUUCUCUCUAUAAAUAUCGACGCCGAGCCCCCAUGGAUCCGUUCCCCGGCCACCCAAGCUCGCCCCACGCCAUCUCCUCUCUCGCCGCUCUCGCCGACGCCCUGCUCACCAACGACCGGAGCCGCUGGAGCGCCAUCGCCAUCGAGGACCACUAAAGCGCCGCCGUCGAGGACCGCCCGGAGCACGCCAACUGCCUCCCUUUCUUCUAGCCGUGCCCCUGCUCCCUGGCUGGCCCCCUGCUCUUCGAUUUCGUCCCUCUGCAAGGACUAGUGGAACAAGAAGCUGAUUUUGUGGUGGAGGACCCAAAUACGUUUGAGGACGACACUCAAGACACUUCUGAACAAAGAAAAUGGAUUCUCCCUCUGCAUUUCUUAUUGUACCCAAAUAAUAAAUUCAACAAGAUUUACUUCUGGAUACGUGCAUAAUUUGAUGGGUUUUGCGUAAAAUAGAAUAACCUAUUAAUACCAACCUUAUUCCUUGAUUAACUUGGGAUUAAUACUAUGCUUAGUAGUUGCGCUAUUGCUUAACUUUGUCAUUAUGAUGUCACUUUCUUUAAGAUGUUAUUUUUCUAGAGAUAAAAUUUAUACUAUGAAUGUUAAUAUGAUGAUUAAACAUGAACAUUUUGUAUUAAAUGGAACAUGGAGUGACGACCCAGGAAAAAAAGUGCAACCACGAGUGCUAUCAUGGAUCUGGCUUAGUAAAUAGCUUUAUAGAUUUAGUGUUUAGCAACCCUACCUGAAAGAUGGACAAGAGGGGGCAACCGUGGUUUGGUGGCAGCUCAUGUUAACAUGGGGUGGUAGUCUUGGCUAUGGCGCCUCAUCCAGAGGGUCACUAACAUUGACGUGGAAACCUUAGCUCGUGACUUUGUACUAAGGAUAUUUUGUGAAAGAGCCUCAUAGUGGAUCCCUAGCAUUUCACCUUUGUAGUGUUUAAGAGUCCGUACAACCCAGUAUAGAGGGGAUACACGACUUGUGGGUAAAGUUGUACCACAUCUGCAGAAUAUAAAACUGAUAUGUUAGCCAUGUUCACGGUUAAGAGUAGCAUGGACCCUCACAUGAUAAGUGAACUUAAAGAUGGAGAAUAAAUCGUGAUUUAAAAUGGUUUGCUUAAGUGGUUUCACAUAAGUGUUUUUGAGAUAUAAUCAUUAUGCUCAUGAUUUAAUUGGGUUUUGGGAUACAUUUACAAUUAGUAAGUUAAGUGUUGUUAAUAAAAUAUUGACCAACUAAAAUGCUUACCUCCUAACCAUAACCUACCUUGUUAACCUUGCAUAAGUCCUCCCAUUUGUUGAGCCCCCACCGUAAGUGAGCUCACCCCUUGCUAAAUUUUUUAUCAGAAGCUGAUGAGGAAGACUUUGACAAAGAUGUUAACGAGUACUUAGUCUAGCGACGCUCCGGUCAUCUUCUGUGGGAGAUGCCUAUGAUAUUUCUGUUGUACUUUGAUGAUUAUAAUAUUUAAGACUCUUAUGUCUGGAUGAUGUAAUAAAGUUAUUAUACUCUCUUUUAAACCUUUAUUGCA